rnacentral:misc_RNA from 1 species
GAUGAAGAACGUAGCGAAAUGCGAUAAGUAAUGUGAAUUGCAGAAUUCAGUGAAUCAUCGAAUCCUUGAACGCACAUUGCGCCCGCCAGCAUUCUGGCGGGCAUGCCUGUUCGAGCGUCAUUUCAACCCUCGAGCCCCCCCGGGGGCCUCGGUGUUGGGGGACGGCACACCAGCCGCCCCCGAAAUGCAGUGGCGACCCCGCCGCAGCCUCCCCUGCGUAGUAGCACACACCUCGCACCGGAGCGCGGAGGCGGUCACGCCGUAAAACGCCCAACUUUCUUAGAGUUGACCUCGGAUCAGGUAGGAAUACCCGCUGAACUUAAGCAUAUCAAUAAGCGGAGGA